UACGGAGGGAGCUAGCGUUAUUCGGAAUUACUGGGCGUAAAGCGCACGUAGGCGGCUUUGUAAGUUAGAGGUGAAAGCCUGGAGCUCAACUCCAGAACUGCCUUUAAGACUGCAUCGCUUGAAUCCAGGAGAGGUGAGUGGAAUUCCGGAGUGUAGAGGUGAAAUUCGUAGAUAUUCGGAAGAACACCAGUGGCGAAGGCGGCUCACUGGACUGGUAUUGACGCUGAGGUGCGAAAAGCGUGGGG
rnacentral:rRNA from 1 species